CACGUGCUUAAUUGGGGAUCAGUUUAAAAAGGAAGGGAGUAGGUAGAGGUUGUAAGCAUGUCUCCACAGGCCUAUUAGUCUAAAUACCGUGGUGAGAUAAGGCCGGUAUCAGAAUGAAAGCAUGCACUGCUUAUACUUAGAAUGGCAUAUCUGAAGAAAUAACAAACAAUUAUGAAACAGAUUAAUAUCCGGAAAGUCUGUAAUAUGGUAUAUUAUUUGGCCUAUUGCACAUGGACUUGGUCCUGAAAGCGUAUGAUUACAUUACACAUAUUGUCUCCACUUGGAAUGGAUGGAGAAGGAGAUGUAUUACCACAUUAUGAAGAGGAACAUCCUCCCCACUGGAUUCCACGGGAUUUGUCUCUCUACUGUGGACGAACAGCUCUACAGGAUAAGAACUGGUUAUUCCUAUAUGUGAAGCUGUACUAUACAUCUGGGGGAAGACUCCUUGUUACAUUUUGAUGUACUUUGUUAUGUUUAGUGUGCAAGCCACUUUGGCUCCGAUAUGUCUACCAGAUAAAUUAAUUGUGGGAGUUAAGUUGAUGGUUUGAGUACUCCUUUUUCUACUGUUCUAGUCACGUUGGGUUGUUUGGUUAUCUUUGUAUGCAUCUCUGUGUGCGGCCAGGCUAGAAGAAGACUGUGCUUGUACACGAGCAGGUAGCUGGGGUUAAGGGAGCACUUGCUCUUGCUCCCUUAACCUGGGCUAACAGCCGGGCCUAAAAGCCAGGCUAGUUGGCGUUGCCCUGCUGGGAUAGGGCCCAGUCGCAGUGGUUUUCAUGCGCAGUUAACCCAGACUGGGCUUUUUAAAAAAAAUUUAUUCGGUCAUUGACCAGUAAACAGACUGGGCAUUCCUAGCCUGGCUUAGGCAGUGUUUGAGAAUAGCCACACUGCAAGAUCUUAAUAAAAUGAUAUUAUGGGUGUCCAUCAGAACAUAAACAAUAAUGUAUUCAUAGUGUCAUGUAUUAAAUUUAUCUCAUAUAUUUAAGUACUGCAUGUCUAAGAAUUCAUGGGUAGCAUUCAGUCUAAGUUAGCCAUAACCAAGUUCCAUUGAAAUUUGUGGGCCUUAUGGUAGUAAAGAUAACUCUGUGCUUCCAGUGGUGCUUCUCAUGAGUAACUUUGUCUAAAUGCUAUCCCCAUAAUAAGCAAUAGCAAUUUUGAAAAGCAACAUGAUAAGAAAACAACUUAGCUGAUAACAGUACAAUCUCAAUCCAUUUAAAACAGCAUGUUAAAUUAAAGUUGCUUUUUGCCCUUA